AUCUGUUCUUAUCAGUUUAAUAUCUGAAACGUCCCCCAUGGAGGGGACCACAUAUUAAACGGAUUUUUGGAACAGGGAGCCGGAAGUGGGGCUUGCCCCGUCCGCUCCACGCAUCGACCCGGUAUUGCAGUGCUUCCGGGAA
rnacentral:snRNA from 1 species